UCAGGAAGUGGACAGUAUGAAGAAAACACAUCUCAACAAAAUACCUCGAGAGGAAUGACAUUACAAGAGGCUCGAGCUCGAUACAGAGCAAAUGUUCAACAAGAGGACACACAGACUCAAGGAGACUUUGAAGCUCCACAGUGGGACACAGACAAAGGUCGAAGGUCGAACACAGGGAAGAACCAGUAUGGUGAUAAUUGGGAUACCAGUGAUUGAUGAAGACGCCCUCCUUAGAGAAGAAAAUCAUUUGGUUCAAUUCCUGUUUCUGUUUUAGUGGCAUGAUUGAAAAUAAAACAAGAUAAAUAUUACCUGUA